rnacentral:rRNA from 1 species
AGAGUUUGAUCCUGGCUCAGAAGGAACGCUGGCAGCGUGCAUAACACAUGCAAGUCGAACGAUGAAACAUUCUUCGGAAUGUGGAAGAGUGGCGAACGGGUGAGGAACACGUAAGAAUCUGCCCCUCGGUCGGGGACAACUCUUGGAAACGAGAGCUAAUACCCGAUACGCUGUGGAGUGAAAGAAUUUCGCCGAGGGAUGAUCUUGCGUCUGAUUAGCUAGUUGGUGUGGUAAUGGCACACCAAGGCGACGAUCAGUAGCUGGUCUGAGAGGAUGAACAGCCACAUUGGAACUGAGACACGGUCCAAACUCCUACGGGAGGCAGCAGUGGGGAAUUUUCCGCAAUGGACGAAAGUCUGACGGAGCGACGCUGCGUGAAGGAUGACGGCCCGCGGGUUGUAAACUUCUUUUCUCGGAGAAGAAGCUCUGACGGUAUUCGAGGAAUAAGCAUCGGCUAACUCCGUGCCAGCAGCCGCGGUAAGACGGAGGAUGCAAGUGUUAUUCGGAAUGAUUGGGCGUAAAGAGUCUGUAGGCCGUAUGGAAAGUCUUUUGUUAAAUGCCUCGGCUCAACCGAGAUCCAGCAAAGGAAACUUCUAUACUUGAGGGAAGUAGAGGUACAGGGAAUUCCCGGUGGAGCGGUGAAAUGCGUAGAUAUCGGGAGGAACACCAAUAUGGCGAAGGCACUGUACUGGGCUUUACCUGACGCUGAGAGACGAAAGCUAAAGGAGUGAUUAGGAUUAGAUACCCUAGUAAUUUUAGCCGUAAACGAUGGAAACUCACUGCCGAGCGAAAUACAACGAGCGGUGGUCAAGCUAACGCGUGAAGUUUCCCGCCUGGGGAUUACGCUUGCAAAGUGAAACUCAAAGGAAUUGACGG